AUUGAACGCUGGCGGCGUGCCUAACACAUGCAAGUCGAGCGGUAACAGGUGUAGCAAUACAUGCUGAUGAGCGGCGGACGGGUGAGUAACGCUUGGGAAUCUGCCUAUCAGUGGGGGACAACCCGGGGAAACUCGGGCUAAUACCGCAUACGAUCUACGGAUGAAAGCCGGGGACCGCAAGGCCUGGCGCUGAUAGAUGA
rnacentral:rRNA from 1 species